UACGGAGGGUGCAAGCGUUAUCCGGAUUCACUGGGUUUAAAGGGUGCGUAGGUGGGCAGGUAAGUCAGUGGUGAAAUCUCCGAGCUUAACUCGGAAACUGCCAUUGAUACUAUCUGUCUUGAAUUAUCUGGAGAUGAGCGGAAUAUGUCAUGUAGCGGUGAAAUGCUUAGAUAUGACAUAGAACACCAAUUGCGAAGGCAGCUCACUACGGAUAUAUUGACACUGAGGCACGAAAGCGUGGGGAUCAAACAGG
rnacentral:rRNA from 1 species